GAUGAACGCUGGCGGCGUGCUUAAUACAUGCAAGUCGAGCGAACAGACGAGGAGCUUGCUCCUCUGACGUUAGCGGCGGACGGGUGAGUAACACGUGGAUAACCUACCUAUAAGACUGGGAUAACUUCGGGAAACCGGAGCUAAUACCGGAUAAUAUAUUGAACCGCAUGGUUCAAUAGUGAAAGACGGUUUUGCUGUCACUUAUAGAUGGAUCCGCGCCGCAUUAGCUAGUUGGUAAGGUAACGGCUUACCAAGGCGACGAUGCGUAGCCGACCUGAGAGGGUGAUCGGCCACACUAGAACUGAGACACGGUCCAGACUCCUACGGGAGGCAGCAGUAGGGAAUCUUCCGCAAUGGGCGAAAGCCUGACGGAGCAACGCCGCGUGAGUGAUGAAGGUCUUCGGAUCGUAAAACUCUGUUAUUAGGGAAGAACAAAUGUGUAAGUAACUAUGCACGUCUUGACGGUACCUAAUCAGAAAGCCACGGCUAACUACGUG
rnacentral:rRNA from 1 species